rnacentral:rRNA from 1 species
AACGAACGCUGGCGGCAUGCCUAACACAUGCAAGUCGAACGAGACCUUCGGGUCUAGUGGCGCACGGGUGCGUAACGCGUGGGAACCUGCCCUUAGGUUCGGAAUAACUCCCCGAAAGGGGUGCUAAUACCGGAUAAUGUCUUCGGACCAAAGAUUUAUCGCCUUUGGAUGGGCCCGCGUUGGAUUAGCUAGUUGGUAGGGUAAAAGCCUACCAAGGCGACGAUCCAUAGCUGGUCUGAGAGGAUGAUCAGCCACACUGGGACUGAGACACGGCCCAGACUUCUAACGGGGGGAGGCAGGGGGGAUAAUUGAACAAGGGGCGAAGGCUGAAUCCGGAAAGGCGGGGGAGGGAAGGAAGGCUUAGGGUUGGUAAAGCUCUUUUCCCGGGAAGGAUAAGAACGGAACCGGAGGAAUAGGCCCCGGCUACUUCGUG